rfam:Schistosoma curassoni strain Dakar, Senegal genome assembly, scaffold: SCTD_scaffold0007551
AUCCAGCUGACGAGUCCCAAAUAGGACGGAGCGCGCGUCCUGUAU